CGCUCGUAUGGAUGCGUAGAUCAUCGUCCAGAUAAUAUAAACUCAAAAUAUGGUCCGACGCGCCGCCACAAGCGGUGGUCAGUGGGUGGUCAACACGGCGGUCAACCACCUCCGAUGCAAAAGUCGUCAACUACAAACUUCUUCAAAAUGAAGGGUUGAUGAAAUUUCAUACCUGGAGCUAAGUCUGGUUCGGCCUAGAUCGUCCUAGAUCAAGCUUUGAAGUUGGAUUAAAUCUCGGACGCACGAUCAGAUCCUAGAUCAAAUCAGGGACGUCG
rnacentral:lncRNA from 1 species